GACGAACGCUGGCGGCGUGCCUAAUACAUGCAAGUAGAACGCUGAAGGAGGAGCUUGCUUCUCUGGAUGAGUUGCGAACGGGUGAGUAACGCGUAGGUAACCUGCCUGGUAGCGGGGGAUAACUAUUGGAAACGAUAGCUAAUACCGCAUAAUAGCAGUUGUUGCAUGACAACUGUUUGAAAGGUGCAAUUGCACCACUACCAGAUGGACCUGCGUUGUAUUAGCUAGUUGGUGGGGUAACGGCUCACCAAGGCGACGAUACAUAGCCGACCUGAGAGGGUGAUCGGCCACACUGGGACUGAGACACGGCCCAGACUCCUACGGGAGGCAGCAGUAGGGAAUCUUCGGCAAUGGACGGAAGUCUGACCGAGCAACGCCGCGUGAGUGAAGAAGGUUUUCGGAUCGUAAAGCUCUGUUGUAAGAGAAGAACGAGUGUGAGAGUGGAAAGUUCACACUGUGACGGUAUCUUACCAGAAAGAGACGGCUAACUACGCG
rnacentral:rRNA from 1 species